rnacentral:rRNA from 1 species
AAGCAGCCAUCAUUUAAAGAAAGCGUAAUAGCUCACUGGUCGAGUCGGCCUGCGCGGAAGAUGUAACGGGGCUAAACCAUGCACCGAAGCUGCGGCAGCGACGCUGAUGCGUUGUUGGGUAGGGGAGCGUUCUGUAAGCCUGCGAAGGUGUGCUGUGAGGCAUGCUGGAGGUAUCAGAAGUGCGAAUGCUGACAUAAGUAACGAUAAAGCGGGUGAAAAGCCCGCUCGCCGGAAGACCAAGGGUUCCUGUCCAACGUUAAUCGGGGCAGGGUGAGUCGACCCCUAAGGCGAGGCCGAAAGGCGUAGUCGAUGGGAAACAGGUUAAUAUUCCUGUACUUGGUGUUACUGCGAAGGGGGGACGGAGAAGGCUAUGUUGGCCGGGCGACGGUUGUCCCGGUUUAAGCGUGUAGGCUGGUUUUCCAGGCAAAUCCGGAAAAUCAAGGCUGAGGCGUGAUGACGAGGCACUACGGUGCUGAAGCAACAAAUGCCCUGCUUCCAGGAAAAGCCUCUAAGCAUCAGGUAACAUCAAAUCGUACCCCAAACCGACACAGGUGGUCAGGUAGAGAAUACCAAGGCGCUUGAGAGAACUCGGGUGAAGGAACUAGGCAAAAUGGUGCCGUAACUUCGGGAGAA